UACCGAAGUUGACCGUCGGAAGUGUGCUUCUGCGUGUACGAGGGCCUUUUAGUGAAGAAACCCUCUUUUUCUGCUCAUAGGUUCCAGGCUAUACUUUUAUUCUGUCGUUUCCCAAGGAGAAUUUUAAGUAGCAGAUGAAAGACAACAGAGUUAUGAAGGCGCGUGAAGCCUUUUCUUGUCUCUCAGCUUCAGCCGGAGCUAAUCUGAGGAUGACAGCAACAACAACAACAAAAACUGAGAAGAGUAGGAGAGACCUGAGUUUGUGGCCUACCCCAUCUCAGAUCAGGUCUAAGCCCUCUCCCUGGGAAUAUGGUAACUAUACCCUAUUUCAUAAUCCUCAUGUGAAUCUGCUUCCAACUGGCUAUGAAGAUGAAUAAAGAGAACCUGGACCACUACCUAGUGGGGACCACAGCGCUGAUUUGGACCAUUACUCUGCACAUGGACCAGAAAAGUGUGUUGCAUUUCUUUUUAAAAAUUUUUUUAAGAAUUUUUUUUUUUUUUGGUACCAAUGAAGAGUCACAUUCUACUUAAAAAUCCACAAGACAUUUUUUAAAAAGAUACAACCAAGAAAAAGAAAGGAGACACAGAUGAAGGAGAACUACUAAGAGGCUCUGAGGCAAAACCCUCAACCAGCAAAAAGAUUACAACUCACUUUAUUGUGAUACUUGUUUGAUUACAGUGAUCUGGAACCAAACCUGCAAUAUAUCAAGGGUCACAGGUGGUCAGAGCCUCUCUCAGCAGCUCAGGGCACUGCAAGGAUGCCUUUCCAUCAAAGAGUGCAUCACACCCACACCCAAACUCACCCAUAUAACUUAGACAUACCAGUUGACCUCUCGUGGACAUCUUUGGGAUGUGGGAGGAAACUUAAGAGUCCUGAGUGAAAACCCACACGGAUAUGGGGAGAACAGUGCCAACUCCACACAGAUAGUGGCCCCCACUCUGGGAAUUUUUCUCAUUAACAUUAUAAGGAAACGAGGAAAUGACCUUGGAGGAAAUGACAUUUGAGCGAAACAACGUUAUUCAAGGACCUGCUGUAUUGAGUUGUGUAACUCUAGCUAAUUAUUCUUUUUGUAUGUCAGUUUCCUCAUAUGUAAAACAUGAGUAUUAAAGCAGAUCUGCCGAUAGGACUC